GUGUCAGCAGCCGCGGUAAUACGGAGGUUCCAAGCGUUGUUCGGAAUUACUGGGCGUAAAGGGAGCGCAGGCGGACAGGUCAGUUUAAAGUGGAAUCCCAGGGCUCAACCCUGGACGUGCUUUGGAUACUGCCUGUCUUGAGUUCGUGAGAGGAAAGUGGAAUUCAGGGUGUAGCGGUGAAAUGCUUAGAUAUCCUGAGGAACACCAGUGGCGAAAGCGACUUUCUGGCACGAAACUGACGCUGAGGCUCGAAAGCAUGGGUAGCGAACGGGAUUAGAUACCCCCGUAGUCC
rnacentral:rRNA from 1 species